rnacentral:rRNA from 1 species
UCUUCGGAUGCUGACGAGUGGCGAACGGGUGAGUAAUACAUCGGAACGUGCCUAGUAGUGGGGGAUAACUACUCGAAAGAGUGGCUAAUACCGCAUGAGAUCUACGGAUGAAAGCAGGGGAUCGCAAGACCUUGUGCUACUAGAGCGGCCGAUGGCAGAUUAGGUAGUUGGUGGGAUAAAAGCUUACCAAGCCGACGAUCUGUAGCUGGUCUGAGAGGACGAUCAGCCACACUGGGACUGAGACACGGCCCAGACUUCUACGGGAGGCAGCAGUGGGGAAUUUUGGACAAUGGGCGCAAGCCUGAUCCAGCAAUGCCGCGUGCAGGAUGAAGGCCUUCGGGUUGUAAACUGCUUUUGUACGGAACGAAAAGCCCUGGGUUAAUACCCUGGGGUCAUGACGGUACCGUAAGAAUAAGCACCGGCUAACUACGUGCCAGCAGCCGCGGUAAUACGUAGGGUGCGAGCGUUAAUCGGAAUUACUGGGCGUAAAGCGUGCGCAGGCGGUUUUGUAAGACAGAGGUGAAAUCCCCGGGCUCAACCUGGGAAUUGCCUUUGUGACUGCAAGGCUAGAGUACGGCAGAGGGGGAUGGAAUUCCGCGUGUAGCAGUGAAAUGCGUAGAUAUGCGGAGGAACACCGAUGGCGAAGGCAAUCCCCUGGGCCUGUACUGACGCUCAUGCACGAAAGCGUGGGGAGCAAACAGGAUUAGAUACCCUGGUAGUCCACGCCCUAAACGAUGUCAACUGGUUGUUGGGUCUUAACUGACUCAGUAACGA